GGGCGGGUGGCGGAACUGGGAUACGCUGGGGCCUUAAAAGCCUCUGGUCUGAAAGGACCUUGUGGGUUCGACUCCCACCCCGCCCACCA
rnacentral:tRNA from 1 species